rnacentral:rRNA from 1 species
AGCAUAUCAAUAAGCGGAGGAAAAGAAAUUAACAAAGAUUCCAUUAGUAACGGCGAGUGAAGUUGGAAGAGCUCAAAUUUGUAAUCGCUUCGGCGAGUUGUAAUUUGUAGAAGCGUUUUCGGGAGCGGUGCUAGGCAAAGUUCCUUGGAAUAGGAUAUCAUAGAGGGUGAGAAUCCCGUUCUAUACUAGCAAACCGUGACUAUAUGAUACGUUCUCUAAGAGUCGGAUUGUUUGGGAAUGCAGUCCAAAAUGGGUGGUAAAUCUCAUCUAAAGCUAAAUAUUGGCAGGAGACCGAUAGCGAACAAGUACCGCGAGGGAAAGAUGAAAAGCACUUUGAAAAGAGAGUAAAAAGUACGUGAAACCGUUAAAAGGGAAACGUUAAGGAUCAGUGAUGAUGGUCGUGAAUCAGCCUAGUAGUUAACUGGGUGCACUUUGCGAUCACAGGUCAACAUCAGUUUGUUCUGUUGGACAAGGGUUUUAGGAAGGUAGAAUACGCUUCGGUGUAUUUGUUAUAGACUAGAACACAUACAAUGGAAUAGACUGAGGAACGCGGUAUUCGUAUAUGGCCUAUUGAGAUAAUAUAGACAAUUAUAUCUAGGCAAUUUAUUGACUAGAUGUGAUCCGGCUGUAUUGACCUUGAUUAGCGCACAAUUAAUACCUAGGAUGUUGGCAAAAUGGUCUUUAUCGACCCGUC